rnacentral:rRNA from 1 species
UACGUAGGGUGCGAGCGUUAAUCGGAAUUACUGGGCGUAAAGCGUGCGCAGGCGGUUCGUUGUGUCCGAUGUGAAAGCCCCCGGGCUUAACCUGGGAAUGGCAUUGGAAACUGGCGGGCUUGAGUGCGGCAGAGGGGGGUGGAAUUCCGCGUGUAGCAGUGAAAUGCGUAGAGAUGCGGAGGAACACCGAUGGCGAAGGCAGCCCCCCUGGGUCGACACUGACGCUCAGGCACGAAAGCGUGGGGAGCAAACAGG